UACGGAGGGGGCUAGCGUUGUUCGGAAUUACUGGGCGUAAAGCGCACGUAGGCGGACUGGAAAGUCAGGGGUGAAAUCCCGGGGCUCAACCCCGGAACUGCCUUUGAAACUCCCAGUCUUGAGGUCGAGAGAGGUGAGUGGAAUUCCGAGUGUAGAGGUGAAAUUCGUAGAUAUUCGGAGGAACACCAGUGGCGAAGGCGACUCACUGGCGCGAUACUGACGCUGAGGUGCGAAGGCGUGGGGAGCAAACAGG
rnacentral:rRNA from 1 species